GCCGUUGUAGCUCAGCUGGUAGAGCGCGUCCAUGGUAAGGACGAGGUCACCGGUUCAAUCCCGGUCAACGGCU
rnacentral:tRNA from 1 species